rnacentral:rRNA from 1 species
UAGGGAAUAUUGGACAAUGGGGGCAACCCUGAUCCAGCCAUGCCGCGUGAGUGAAGAAGGCCCUCGGGUUGUAAAGCUCUUUUGUCCGGAAAGAAAAGCUUCGGGUUAAUACCCCGGGGUUCUGACGGUACCGGAAGAAUAAGCACCGGCUAACUUCGUGCCAGCAGCCGCGGUAAUACGAAGGGUGCAAGCGUUACUCGGAAUUACUGGGCGUAAAGCGUGCGUAGGUGGUUGUUUAAGUCUGAUGUGAAAGCCCUGGGCUCAACCUGGGGAUGGCAUUGGAAACUGGGCAGCUAGAGUGCGGUAGAGGGUAGUGGAAUUCCCGGUGUAGCAGUGAGAUGCGUAGAGAUCGGGAGGAACAUCUGUGGCGAAGGCGACUGCCUGGACCAGCACUGACACUGAGGCACGAAAGCGUGGGGAGCAAACA